rnacentral:rRNA from 1 species
UACUCGAGUGGCGAACGGGCGAGUAACACGUGGGUGAUCUGCCCUGCACUUCGGGAUAAGCUUGGGAAACUGGGUCUAAUACCGGAUAGGAGCCAUCUUUAGUGUGGUGGUUGGAAAGUUUUUUCGGUGUAGGAUGAGCUCGCGGCCUACCAGCUUGUUGGUGGGGUAAUGGCCUACCAAGGCGGCGACGGGUAGCCGGCCUGAGAGGGUGUACGGCCACAUUGGGACUGAGAUACGGCCCAG